GGGGUACGAGUGCGGGUCUUUGGGCCCAACCUCCCAUCCGUGUCUAUUGUACCCUGUUGCUUCGGCGGGCCCGCCGCUUGUCGGCCGCCGGGGGGGCGCCUCUGCCCCCCGGGCCCGUGCCCGCCGGAGACCCCAACACGAACACUGUCUGAAAGCGUGCAGUCUGAGUUGAUUGAAUGCAAUCAGUUAAAACUUUCAACAAUGGAUCUCUUGGUUCCGGCAUCGAUGAAGAACGCAGCGAAAUGCGAUAACUAAUGUGAAUUGCAGAAUUCAGUGAAUCAUCGAGUCUUUGAACGCACAUUGCGCCCCCUGGUAUUCCGGGGGGCAUGCCUGUCCGAGCGUCAUUGCUGCCCUCAAGCCCGGCUUGUGUGUUGGGUCGCCGUCCCCCUCUCCGGGGGGACGGGCCCGAAAGGCAGCGGCGGCACCGCGUCCGAUCCUCGAGCGUAUGGGGCUUUGUCACAUGCUCUGUAGGAUUGGCCGGCGCCUGCCGACGUUUUCCAACCAUUCUUUCCAGGUUGACCUCGGAUCAGGUAGGGAUACCCGCUGAACUUAAGCAUAUCAAUAAUGCGAA
rnacentral:rRNA from 1 species